UACGGAGGGUGCAAGCGUUACUCGGAAUCACUGGGCGUAAAGGAUGCGUAGGCUGGAAAUCAAGUCGAGAGUGAAAUCCAACGGCUCAACCGUUGAACUGCUCUCGAAACUGGUUACCUAGAAUAUGGGAGAGGUAGAUGGAAUUGGUGGUGUAGGGGUAAAAUCCGUAGAUAUCACCAGGAAUACCGAUUGCGAAGGCGAUCUACUGGAACAUUAUUGACGCUGAGGCAUGAAAGCGUGGGGAGCAAACAGGAUUAGAUACCCUGGUAGUCCACGCCCUAAACGAUGCACACUAGUUGUUGCGAUGCUAGUCAUUGCAGUAAUGCACUUAACAGAUUAAGUGUGCCGCCUGGGGAGUACGGUCGCAAGAUUAAA
rnacentral:rRNA from 1 species